rnacentral:rRNA from 1 species
AAAAGAAGUUCAAAAACAGCUUCAGAAUGAAGCUUUCUUGAUGGAGGGGAGCGGCAGACGGGUGAGUAACGCGUGGGAAUCUACCCAUCUCUACGGAAUAACUCAGGGAACUUUUUGCUAAUACCGUAUACGCCCUUAGGGGGAAAGAUUUAUGGGAGAUGGAUGAGCCCGCGUUGGAUUAGCUAGUUGGUGAGGUAAAGGCUCACCAAGGCGACGAUCCAUAGCUGGUCUGAGAGGAUGAUCAGCCACACUGGGACUGAGACACGGCCCAGACUCCUACGGGAGGCAGCAGUGGGGAAUAUUGGACAAUGGGCGCAAGCCUGAUCCAGCCAUGCCGCGUGAGUGAUGAAGGCCCUAGGGUUGUAAAGCUCUUUCACCGGUGAAGAUAAUGACGGUAACCGGAGAAGAAGCCCCGGCUAACUUCGUGCCAGCAGCCGCCGUAAGAC